CCUACGGGAGGCAGCAGUGAGGAAUAUUGGUCCAUGGACGAGAGUCUGAACCAGCCAAGUAGCGUGAAGGAUGCCUGCCCUAUGGGUUGUAAACUUCUUUUAUAAAGGAAUAAAACGAGGCACGUGUGCCUUUUUGCAUGUACUUUAUGAAUAAGGAUCGGCUAACUCCGUGCCAGCAGCCGCGGUACUACGGAGGAUCCGAGCGUUAUCCUGAUUUAUUGGGUUUACAGGGAGCUUAGAUGGGUUGGUAAGUCAGUUGUGAAAGUUUGCGGCCCAACCGUAAAAUUGCAAUUGAGACUGGCAGUGUUGAGUACAGGUGAGGUAGGCGGAAUUCGUGGGGUAGCGGGGAAAUGCUUAGAUAUCACGAAGAAACCCGAUUGCGAAGGCAGCUUACUAAACUGUGACUGACAUUGAUGCUCGAAAGUGUGGGUAUCAAACAGGAUUAGAUACCCCGGUAGUC
rnacentral:rRNA from 1 species